GACGAACGCUGGCGGCGCGCCUAACACAUGCAAGUCGAACGAGCGAGAGAGAGCUUGCUUUCUCGAGCGAGUGGCGAACGGGUGAGUAACGCGUGAGGAACCUGCCUCAAAGAGGGGGACAACAGUUGGAAACGACUGCUAAUACCGCAUAAGCCCACGGGUCGGCAUCGACCAGAGGGAAAAGGAGCAAUCCGCUUUGAGAUGGCCUCGCGUCCGAUUAGCUAGUUGGUGAGGUAAUGGCCCACCAAGGCGACGAUCGGUAGCCGGACUGAGAGGUUGAACGGCCACAUUGGGACUGAGACACGGCCCAGACUCCUACGGGAGGCAGCAGUGGGGAAUAUUGCACAAUGGGGGAAACCCUGAUGCAGCGAAGCCGCGUGGAGGAAGAAGGUCUUCGGAUUGUAAACUCCUGUUGUUGGGGAAGAUAAUGACGGUACCCAACAAGGAAGUGACGGCUAACUACGUG
rnacentral:rRNA from 1 species